rnacentral:lncRNA from 1 species
GAAACAAAGAAGAAGGUUCAGAGAUGAAAAAAGAUUAUGAGCUAUGUGACCUGAUCAGUGGAUUAAGCCACUGAUGGAUUAGUUGGGUGGUAACUCUAGGCAAGUAACGUGACUAGAGAAAAUAGGUCACUGGGGUCAUGACUGGAGUUUAUAUUUUGUCUUUGGUGAAUGGAACUAUACUUACUUGUUGACAUGUCCUGAGCUGCUCCACUAUGUACUUCUUCCAUGAUGUUCUGCUUUACCUUGGGCCCAGAGCUAUGGAGUUAGUUAUCUAUGGACUGAGACCUCUGAAACCAUGAGGCAAAAUCAACUUUUCCUCCUCUACACUGUUCUUUUGGUCAUAGCAACAACAACAACAACAACAACAACAAACGGAUUAAAACAUAGAUUCCUCAGAAGACUAGGAAUGGGCUUGAGGAAGGCUGAGGCAGGAGGAUUAGAAGUUCAAAAUCAGCCUCAGAAACUCAAGAGAAGCUCUGAGCAACAUAGUGAGACCUUAUCUCAAAAUAAAAAUAAAAAAUGCUGGGGAUGUGGGUCAGUGGUUAAGUGCCCCUCAAUUUCAUCCCUUGUUUAAAAAAAUAAACAAAAAGCAAAGAACUAGAAAUGGAACCACCAUAGGAUCCUGUUAUCCUACUCCUUAGUAUUUAUACAAAAAAAUUAAAAUCAGCAUGCCCCAGUGAUAUAGGCAUAUCAGUGUUGAUAGCACAAUUCACAACAACCAAGUUAUGGAACAACUCUGGUACCAACCAACAGAAGAAUGGGUGAAGAAAGUGGUAUAUAUAUGCAAUGAAGUUUUAUCAGUCAUAGAGAAGAAUGAAGUUAUGGUAUUUGCUUGUAAAUGGCUGGAACUGAAGAAUACCAUGCUAAGUGAAAUAAGCCAGACUCAGAAUGUCAAAGGUCUCAUAUGCAGAAGCUAGAGAGAAAUAAGGAAACAUAAAAGAUGGGGGGAUCCUAAGAAAAUAAAAGGGAGAUCAGUUGAGUAGAAGAAUGGGAUUGAGAGGGAAGGAGGAGCGAUGGGGAAAGGGAAGAACUGUGGAAUGAAAUUGACCAAAUUCUGCUACAUAAAUAUAUAAAUACGUCACAGUGAAUUCCAACUUUAUAUCUGUAAAGCACCAAUUUAAAAAAAACAAUAAAUGAAUAGAAGGAAGACCAGUAGAAAAGAGGAAGGAGAGCAGGGGGAGGGAAGAGGGGAGGUAAAAUAGA